rnacentral:sRNA from 1 species
UGACUAUAUCUCAUGUGUAUGAUUGAGUAUAAGAACUAAAACCGUAAAA